GACGAACGCUGGCGGCGUGCCUAAUACAUGCAAGUAGAACGCUGAAGGCGGAGCUUGCUUCUCUGGAUGAGUUGCGAACGGGUGAGUAACGCGUAGGUAACCUGCCUGGUAGCGGGGGAUAACUAUUGGAAACGAUAGCUAAUACCGCAUAAGAGUAGAUGUUGCAUGACAUUUGCUUAAAAGGUGCAAUUGCAUCACUACCAGAUGGACCUGCGUUGUAUUAGCUAGUUGGUGGGGUAACGGCUCACCAAGGCGACGAUACAUAGCCGACCUGAGAGGGGGAUCUGCCACACUGGGACUGGUGCACGGCCCAGACGCCUACGGGAGGCAGCAGUAGGGAAUCUGCGGCAAUGGACGGAAGUCUGACCGAGCAACGCCGCGUGAGUGAAGAAGGUUUUCGGAGCGUAAAGCGAUGUUGUAAGGGAAGAACGAGGGUGAGAGUUGAAAGUUCACACUGUGACGGUAACUUACCAGAAAGGGACGGCUAACUACGUG
rnacentral:rRNA from 1 species